CGGGGUGUAGCUCAGUCUGGCUAGAGCGCCUGCUUUGGGAGCAGGAGGUCGCAGGUUCGAAUCCUGUCACCCCGA
rnacentral:tRNA from 1 species